GUCGGAAUAGACGGUCCUUCCCCGGGGAGUCAGUUCCUCCCCGGGCCCCUGAGCCAUGCCCAUCGCAGCCGCCCCGAAGGAGCCAGGUGUAAAUUAAUUAUUUGAAAGCAACUGAACAAUGGAGCCAGACAUCAUUCGAAUGUACUCUUCAUCCCCACCACCAUUAGACAAUGGAGCAGAGGAUGAUGAUGAUGAUGAAUUUGGGGAAUUUGGUGGGUUUUCAGAAGUUAGCCCUUCUGGUGUAGGGUUUGUUGAUUUUGAUACACCAGAUUAUACUCGUCCCAAGGAAGAGUUUGUACCUUCAAACCAUUUUAUGCCAAUUCAUGAAUUCUCAGAAAAUGUAGAUAGCCUUACAAGCUUUAAGUCCAUUAAAAAUGGUAAUGAUAAGGACAUCACUGCUGAACUUUCUGCUCCUGUGAAAGGACAGUCUGAUGUUUUACUUUCUACCACCAGCAAAGAAGUAAUUUCAUCUGAAAUGUUAGAUACUUCCAUUGAUGGCAUGGAAAGACCAGGAAAUUUAAAUAAAGUAGUGGAGCAGAGACAGAAUGUUGGAACACUUGAAAGUUUCUCUCCAGAAGAUUUUAGAACUAAUAUGAAUGUUGUUCAUCAAAACAAGCAGUUAGAGAGCUGUAAUGGUGAAAAGCCUCCUUGUCUGGAGAUUCUAACAAAUGGGUUUGCAGUGUUGGAAACUGUAAAUCCUCAGGGAACAGAUGAUCUGGACAAUGUAGCUGAUUCAAAGGGACGGAAGCCUCUUAGCACUCAUAGCACUGAGUAUAAUUUAGACUCUGUACCUAGUCCUGCUGAGGAAUUUGCAGAUUUUGCCACAUUUUCCAAAAAGGAAAGGAUACAAUUAGAAGAAAUAGAAUGUGCAGUUUUAAAUGAUAGAGAAGCACUAACCAUUCGGGAAAACAAUAAAAUUAAUAGAGUCAAUGAACUGAAUUCUGUAAAAGAAGUGUCUUUGGGUAGAAGCUUGGAUAACAAAGGAGACACUGAUGGAGAGGAUCAGGUUUGUGUUUCAGAAAUAAGCAUAGUGACUAACAGAGGUUUCAGUGUUGAAAAACAAGGCCUUCCAACACUGCAACAAGAUGAAUUUUUACAGUCAGGUGUUCAGUCAAAGGCUUGGAGUUUGGUAGACUCAGCUGAUAAUUCAGAAGCCAUUAGGAGAGAACAAUAUAAAACUGAAGAAAAACUUGACUUACUUACUUCUAAAUGUGCUCACCUAUGCAUGGAUUCUGUUAAAACUUCUGAUGAUGAAGUUGGUUCUCCCAAAGAAGAAAGUAGAAAGUUUACUAAUUUCCAAAGCCCAAACAUUGACCCCACAGAAGAAAAUGAUUUGGAUGAUUCUUCAAGUGUAAAAAAUGGUGAUAGUAGUAAUGACUUUGUGACUUGCAAUGAUAUCAAUGAAGAUGAUUUUGGUGAUUUUGGUGACUUUGGCACUGCCAGUGGCUCAACUCCACCUUUUGUUACUGGUACUCAAGAUUCAAUGAGUGAUGCCACUUUUGAAGAGUCUUCAGAGCACUUUCCACAUUUUAGUGAACCAGGUGAUGACUUUGGAGAAUUUGGGGAUAUAAAUGCUGUUUCUUGCCAAGAGGAGACAAUAUUAACAAAGUCAGACCUAAAACAGACUUCUGAUAAUUUAUCAGAAGAAUGUCAAUUGGCAAGAAAAUCUAGUGGAACAGGCACUGAACCUGUUUCAAAACUUAAAAAUGGGCAAGAAGGUGAGAUUGGACAUUUUGAUUCUGUGCCAAAUAUUCAGGAUGACUGCAAUGGUUUUCAAGACUCUGAUGAUUUUGCAGACUUCAGUUCAGCUGGUCCUAGCCAAGUUGUAGAUUGGAAUGCUUUUGAGGAUGAACAAAAAGAUAGUUGUUCUUGGGCUGCUUUUGGAGACCAGCAGGCUACUGAAUCUCAUCAUCGAAAGGAAGCCUGGCAGUCACAUAGGACAGAUGAAAAUAUUGAUACUCCAGGAACCCCCAAAACGCACAGUGUACCUUCAGCAACUUCCAAAGGAGCAGUUGCUAGUGGCCAUUUACAGGAAUCAGCCACUUCAGUUCAGACAGCUUUAUUAAACCGCCUGGAGCGAAUUUUCGAAGCAUGUUUUCCUUCCAUACUUGUCCCUGAUGCUGAAGAGGAAGUUACUUCCCUGAAGCACUUGCUGGAAACAAGCACUUUGCCAAUAAAAACGAGAGAGGCCUUACCUGAAAGUGGGGAAUUGCUAGAUGUGUGGACUGAGCUACAGGAUAUCCAUGAUGCACAUGGCUUGAGAUACCAGUGGGGCGGCUCCCAUAGCAACAAGAAGCUUUUGUCCUCCUUGGGAAUAGACACACGAAACAUUCUCUUCACGGGCAAUAAGAAGCAGCCUGUUAUAGUGCCCAUGUAUGCAGCAGGAUUGGGUAUGUUAGAGCCCACCAAGGAACCAUUGAAACCACUUUCUGCUGCAGAAAAAAUAGCUUCCAUCGGUCAGACAGCCACCAUGUCACCAGAUAUGAACACAUGUACAUCUGAUCAGUUCCAGGAGUCUCUACCACCCGUCCAGUUUGACUGGAGUAGCAGUGGCCUUACUAACCCUUUAGAUGGUACGUCUCUCCGUAGAGCCUCUAGCACCAGAGCUAGAGUUAAGAAAGCUACAAAGUUCAGACAAACUUCUCUCUGCUGAUUUCCUUUUUUAUUUGAACAUAACUUAUUCUUAUCUUUGGAAAUUCAGGCUUUCUUUCUGAACAGUAAUUGCUCAAGAAACCAGCCGUUAUUAUUAUCAACAGUAUUAAUGUCCAAAUAUAGGUAAUAGUAGUUAGGUAAAAUUUUAGUUUCUUUAAGUCAAAAGUAAGCUCCUUUAUUUUUUACAAAUAUCUAGAUAGUUUAAAAGGUAUUUUAGCUAGGACCAAUUUACCUUGAAUUUUUUUCUGUAAGUAAGUUUUAAUUUAUGGAAUUUUCUUGGAUGCAAAGUCUUGUGACUAGAGGCUGCUUCAGAGCACAAAGCACAAUUAUUUAGCCAAAAACAGCGUGCAUAGAUCCAUGUUUAUUGACUCAAAGUAGUUUUUAGAUUUAAUAUUUUAUAGAGCACCUAUAUGCAAAUAGAAAAUAAAUUUCACAAUCCUUUUCUAAAGCGUGUCUCCAAAUGUUAGUAGGCAGUUCUAAAAAUAAUUGGUUUCACUUAUGGCUUUAAAAGAAAAUCCUCAAAAAGGAAUAACUUAUUUCAGUAAUGUAAUGUGGGCUCUUUAAAAUAAGUAACACACCAAUGCUAGUUUCUAGUAUUGACACCACAAGUUUUAAGUGGAUCCCAAGAUGUAAUUGCUCUUACUCCUUGUGCUUAAGUUGUUCGAGCCAUUGUCUAAACACCUAUCAUUGUCUAAAUGGCAAUUAUUUUGCCAUUGUAAAAAAACACUAUCAGCUUGGCCUUAUAGUGGGGUCCUAGGAUAUCUGGAAAGCAUCCAAUUGAAUUAAUAUAGUGCUGAAGGAAAGCCUGGAUGCACUUUUUGCUGUUGUCUGGUGUCUUCAGUCAAAUCAUCAUGCUUUUUAUUAACAAACAACUUCUUUAAAAAUGUAUACUAUUUCUGAUUACUGUUUCAGAGUUAAAGGGGAACAGUACAGCUUGAGGUUGCACAUCAGGGUAGGGUAGUUAUGACAUUCUUUAUUAUGUUAUUUUAUUUUAAACUAAGUUAACACAUUGGUGCGUGUCCUGAAACUGACAACUUUGUCACUUUUUAAAAAGCAUUAAUUAGAAACCAAUAUUACUAACAUGAAAGAUUGAUUUGGGCAUGUACAGUGAUUUCUAAUGUUGGGUUGAGAUUAAAGUAUUGUUUCCCUUUAACGGGUACGCAUUCCUUUCGGUCUUUCUGGUAUGGCUUCCAGUUUUGAUUGAAGCAACUGAACUCCUAAAACCUUACUAAGUGUUACAUUCUUUACAUUGUACAUGAGAAAAUGUACAUUGAAUUAAAUUGUUAUUUUAGAAAUGUCCUUAGUAAUGAAAAACUAAUACUGUACACAUUGUUUUAAUGUUGAUUUUUAAAAUGUGUAAUGAUUACUAAUUAUAACCUGCAUGUUCAAGUGUGUGUCUUACCCCUUUUUACACAUAACCCCUCCUCCCUUGGCUUACCUUCUGUGUGGCUGCCUACCAACACGGUCACUGAAUUUCAAGCUAGUGGAGGUUCCACUCUUCUGAACCUUGAUUUCUUUGGGCCCGUGGAUGACAGUAGCUGUAGCAGCAGCACCACAAUCCCAGGUGUGGAUCCGGAGUUGUAUGAGUUAACAACUUCUAAGCUGGAAAUCUCCACCUCAAGCCUCAAAGUGACUGAUGCAUUUGCAAGACUCAUGUCUACAGUAGAGAAGACAAGCACAUCUACCAGUAGGAAACCGAAAAGAGAAGAGCACCUAAGUGAAGAAGCUAUCAAGGUGAUCGCUGGCCUUCCUGACUUAACAUUCAUGCAUGCCAAGGUGUUGAUGUUCCCAGCCACGUUAACACCUUCCACAAGCUCUCAAGAAAAAGCAGACGGAUAACUGAUGUGAAUUGGACAGUUUCUAUUGCUUUUCCUUUUUUCCAUCCCUUUCCUACCAUCAAAAGCAUACCUGCUCUAAUUAAAAAAAAAAAAAAAA
rnacentral:sRNA from 1 species